rnacentral:rRNA from 1 species
ACGAACGCUGGCGGCGUGCCUAAUACAUGCAAGUCGAGCGGACUGAUUAAGAGCUUGCUCUUAUGACGUUAGCGGCGGACGGGUGAGUAACACGUGGGCAACCUGCCCUGUAGAUCGGGAUAACACCGAGAAAUCGGUGCUAAUACCGGGUAAUAUCUGAGAUCACAUGAUCUUAGGUUAAAAGAUGGCUCCGGCUAUCACUACAGGAUGGGCCCGCGGCGCAUUAGCUAGUUGGUAAGGUAAUGGCUUACCAAGGCGACGAUGCGUAGCCGACCUGAGAGGGUGAUCGGCCACACUGGGACUGAGACACGGCCCAGACUCCUACGGGAGGCAGCAGUAGGGAAUCUUCCGCAAUGGACGAAAGUCUGACGGAGCAACGCCGCGUGAGUGAUGAAGGGUUUCGGCUCGUAAAGCUCUGUUGUUAGGGAAGAAACAGUACCGAACGAACUAGGUCGGUACCUUGACGGCACCUAACCAGAAAGCCACGGCUAACUACGUG